ensembl:lncRNA
CCCCCCCACACACACACACACACAAAAGAAAAAUAAGUAUAAAAUGUAAAAUAUAAUACUGUAGUAAUAAUAACGCUCACAUAAAACUAGGAUAGAUUCUUUAAUAUAUGCUUUGUCAUGUUUUGGAUUCCCAGUGUCAGAUUAAAACGAUAAAAAAGGCUUUUGUUUUAAACGUUUUGAAAACAACUACACUAUGUUUUAAGUGCGAUUAUUAUUGAAGCUCAACAAACACUAAAAGAUCUUCCACGAGUUUUUCUUUUCCUAAACGCGGUUACUCUCCAGCUGAACUCUCUGAUUUCCGAUGUUUUCACUUGCUCUCAAACGCAACAUUUGCUGUCAAACUUUCAGUGUCGUUCCUCUUCCAAAGCUGUGGCGCAGUUUACGUUCUCGUCUGGAUGAAGACUGAAGUCCUCAAGAUGAGUGAGGAGGAGUUUCCAGCCUCCAGCUGUCUAUGAAGAGCGACCGAUCCAACGAUCAUCCUCCAGACUUCAGUAAAGAACCUAAACCCUCAGAGACAAAUGUGGACAGGAAUCAGCUGCUGAGGUUCAUCCACUGCUGUGCUGCCUCUGACGUCCAGCAGGAGGCAGCAUCCGGCCUGCUGAGGACUCUGCAGCACCGCUUGGAUCUGUCCUGCCAGUCCUUUGUGGAUCUACAAGAGGAGGAUCAGACCGAGCCUCUGAGUCUGACUGCUGAUGACUGCAGGGCUGCAUCCAUCAUCCUGAAACACUGCAGCCGGGACACUCAGCUCCACCUGCAGGACUGUGAGGUGGAGGACGGAGGACUGGACCUGCUGUUUCCUGUCCUGGACAGGGUCCGUCUCAGAGUCAGUAAAAGUGUCCUCCUCCAGCUGCUGUCCCUGAUUCCUGUCCACUCUGAGAGGGACACAGUGAGACGGGCCGAGUCCCUGUGUGGAGCUCUGGGUGGAGAGCUGGACCUCAGUCACACCACACUGGACCAGAGGGUCUGUGGAGGUCUGGUCCAGAUGCUGGACUCCUGUGAAGGACUGACUGAGCUGGACCUCAGUCACUGUCAGCUCAGAGACCAGCUGCUGCUGGUCCUCAUCACACAUCUGCACAAAGUCCAGGUCCUGGAUCUGAGCCACAAUAAGAUCACAGAUGCUUCCACAGAUGUGCUCCUCCAGCUGAUCUCCAUCCACUCCUCCAUCCACACUGUGAGACUCUUCAGCAACGACAUCGUGGACAGAAGACCCUUUAAGAAGCACAAGCAGUUUGAAAUCUGGUGAAGCAGUCAGGAGGUCAUGUGAUCAUCAGGGAGGAACUGUUGGAUGUUGUCAUUAAAAAGCCUUUUCUCCUCAUGAUCAGAUGAAAACAUGGAGUUCAUUCUGGUCAUCAGUAGUGUGUGAUGGAGAGACUUUAGUUGAAACAAGCUUUGAUUUUUACCUCAUUAGAUUCUCUUUGCUUUUUACAAUCAAUCAGACGACACUUUAUCUGGAGGCAAAGAGCAGCCAGCAGUGUUUUCUAAAACUUCACCACCUAUGUUUGACAUUAUUAGUUAGUGGAGCUCAUAUUUCUGUUUGCUACCAUGUAAUGAUCGUCUUAAAAUUAUUUUUUUAUUGUGACAAAACAGAGACUAUAACUGUCAGUGUUGUGAAUAGGCUGAAGUGAUAUUUUUCUACUGCUGUGAUAACUGUAUUUAUUCUUGUUUGCAUGUUCCAGUGGAGGGAGAGUAAAAUGACUCUCUGAUAGCACCUCAGAGGAAUGAAGCAAGAAGAGUUCAUUCAGGACUAAACUGUUUGGUACAUUCCUAGAACUGGAAGAAACCAUCAGAAAACUGGAAACAUGUUGAGGAUUUUUCACUCACAUUUGAAAUAAAGUCAUCCAAGAGAUGAUGUUUCUUCCUGUGCUGGUUCUCUCUUCUUUCUAUGACAGUGUUGUGAUGUUUUCAUGGAACAUCUUCUAUAGAGCACAGCUUCUAGACAUGAACUGGAGCUCAGUAUUUGACAAACUUCUGCUGUAGUUUUGGCUCUUUGGGGCAGAAAACCUCGUGUUCUGUUUAAUGUUUGACCUCAGCAUGAAGUUAAGGAUGUG